GCCAGCAUGACAUAGUGGUUUGAGCGUUGGUCUCUGACUCCAAAGUCCAGGGUUCGAUUCCCCGUUCAGCCA